UGGGGAAUAUUGCACAAUGGGCGAAAGCCUGAUGCAGCAACGCCGCGUGCGGGAUGACGGCCUUCGGGCUGUAAACCGCUUUCAGCAGGGACGAAGGUUUUCUGACGGUACCUGCAGAAGAAGCACCGGCUAACUACGUGCCAGCAGCCGCGGUGAUACGUAGGGUGCGAGCGUUGUCCGGAAUUAUUGGGCGUAAAGAGCUUGUAGGCGGUCCGUUGCGUCGGAAGUGAAAACUCAGGGCUUAACCCUGAGCCUGCUUUCGAUACGGGCGGACUUGAGGGAUGUAGGGGAGAACGGAAUUCCUGGUGGAGCGGUGGAAUGCGCAGAUAUCAGGAGGAACACCAGUGGCGAAGGCGGUUCUCUGGACAUUUCCUGACGCUGAGAAGCGAAAGCGUGGGGAGCAAACAGGCUUAGAUACCCUGGUAGUCCACGCCGUAAACGGUGGGCACUAGGUGUGGGACCCAUUCCACGGGUUCCGUGCCGUAGCUAACGCAUUAAGUGCCCCGCCUGGGG
rnacentral:rRNA from 1 species